rnacentral:rRNA from 1 species
UACGUAGGGUGCAAGCGUUGUCCGGAAUUAUUGGGCGUAAAGAGCUCGUAGGCGGUUUGUCGCGUCUGCUGUGAAAACUCAGGGCUUAACCCUGAGCCUGCAGUGGGUACGGGCAGACUAGAGUGUGGUAGGGGAGAAUGGAAUUCCCGGUGUAGCGGUGAAAUGCGCAGAUAUCGGGAGGAACACCGGUGGCGAAGGCGGUUCUCUGGGCCUUACCUGACGCUGAGGAGCGAAAGCGUGGGGAGCGAACAGG